UACAGAGGGUGCGAGCGUUAAUCGGAAUUACUGGGCGUAAAGCGCGCGUAGGCGGCUUUGCAAGUCGGGUGUGAAAUCCCCAGGCUUAACCUGGGAACUGCAUUCGAGACUGCAUUGCUAGAGUAUGGGAGAGGGAAGUGGAAUUUCCGGUGUAGCGGUGAAAUGCGUAGAUAUCGUGAGGAACACCAGAGGCGAAGGCGGCUACCUGGACAAUUGCUGACGCUCAGGCACGAAAGCGUGGGGAGCAAAAGGG
rnacentral:rRNA from 1 species